GGGCGCAAGCCUGAUGCAGCGACGCCGCGUGAGGGAUGACGGCCUUCGGGUUGUAAACCUCUUUCAGUACCGACGAAGCGCAAGUGACGGUAGGUACAGAAGAAGCACCGGCCAACUACGUGCCAGCAGCCGCGGUAAUACGUAGGGUGCGAGCGUUGUCCGGAAUUACUGGGCGUAAAGAGCUCGUAGGCGGUUUGUCGCGUCGUCUGUGAAAACCCGCAGCUCAACUGCGGGCUUGCAGGCGAUACGGGCAGACUUGAGUACUGCAGGGGAGACUGGAAUUCCUGGUGUAGCGGUGAAAUGCGCAGAUAUCAGGAGGAACACCGGUGGCGAAGGCGGGUCUCUGGGCAGUAACUGACGCUGAGGAGCGAAAGCGUGGGUAGCGAACAGGAUUAGAUACCCUGGUAGUCCACGCCGUAAACGGUGGGCGCUAGGUGUGGGUUUCCUUCCACGGGAUCCGUGCCGUAGCUAACGCAUUAAGCGCCCCGCCUGGGGAGUACGGC
rnacentral:rRNA from 1 species